UCCCUCCCUCCUCGCACGACAAGGGGAGAACAGCGGGCAGCGACGGUAGAGCACAGGCAGAGCUUCGAUUUUGUGAAGGAGCUGUUAUCACAUGAGGUUCGACAGCCACCCCGCCCCUCGCCACGAGCAGAGUCCACGGGCAUAGAUAGAACCACAGAACGGCUGAGGUUGGAAGAGUUCUCUGGAUGUCAUCUAGUCCCAACCCCUACUCAAGUACAGCUGUAUAGAUCUGCUGGCCCAAGACAAAGAUUUUGAGCACCUUCAAGAAUGGAGACUACCUCUCUGUGCAAUGAAACUUUAUGGCCAACUGCACUCACAAGGGAGUCACCAACAGUAAACAAAGGUUCAGAAAUAGUCACAAGAUAAAUGCAUGCAUGGGUGCACCGCACUGCCAUAUCAAC